rnacentral:rRNA from 1 species
GACGAACGCUGGCGGCGUGCUUAACACAUGCAAGUCGAGCGGAAAGGCCCUUCGGGGUACUCGAGCGGCGAACGGGUGAGUAACACGUGAGUAAUCUGCCCUUGGCUUUGGGAUAACUACCGGAAACGGUGGCUAAUACCGGAUACGACAACCGUCUGCAUGGGCUGGUUGUUGAAAGUUUUUUCGGCCAGGGAUGUGCUCGCGGCCUAUCAGCUUGUUGGUGGGGUAAUGGCCUACCAAGGCUUCGACGGGGAGCCGGCCUGAGAGGGUGACCGGCCACACUGGGACUGAGACACGGCCCAGACUCCUACGGGAGGCAGCAGUGGGGAAUAUUGGACAAUGGGCGGAAGCCUGAUCCAGCAACGCCGCGUGAGGGAUGACGGCCUUCGGGUUGUAAACCUCUUUCAGUACCGACGAAGCGCCGAUGAUGGUGGUGACGGUAGGUACAGAAGAAGCACCGGCCAACUACGUG